rnacentral:rRNA from 1 species
AUUGAACGCUAGCGGGAUGCCUUACACAUGCAAGUCGAACGGAGUGGCGAACGGGUGAGUAAUGUAUCGGAACGUGACCAGUAGCGGGGGAUAACUACGCGAAAGCGUAGCUAAUACCGCAUACUAUUGGAGCGGCCGAUAUCGGAUUAGCUAGUUGGUGAGGUAACGGCUCACCAAGGCCACGAUGCAUAGCCGACCUGAGAGGGUGAUCGGCCCCACUGUGACUGAGACACGGCCCAGACUCCUACGGGAGGCAGCAGUGGGGAAUGUUGGACGAUGGGGGAAACCCUGAUCCAGCCAUCCCGCGUGUGCGAUGAAGGCCUUCGGGUUGUAAAGCACUUUUGGCAGGAAAGCGGUACCUGCAGAAUAAGCACCGGCUAACUACGGGCCAGCAGCCGCGGUAAUAC